rnacentral:rRNA from 1 species
UACGUAGGGACCAAGCGUUGUUCGGAUUUACUGGGCGUAAAGGGCGCGUAGGCGGCAUGACAAGUCACUUGUGAAAUCUCUGGGCUUAACCCAGAACGGCCAAGUGAUACUGUCGCGCUAGAGUGCGGAAGGGGCAAUCGGAAUUCUUGGUGUAGCGGUGAAAUGCGUAGAUAUCGAGAGGAACACCUGCGGCGAAGGCGGGUUGCUGGGCUGACACUGACGCUGAGGCGCGAAAGCCAGGGGAGCGAACGGG